GAUGAACGCUAGCUACAGGCUUAACACAUGCAAGUCGAGGGACCGGCGCACGGGUGAGUAACACAUAUCCAACCUGCCCUUUACUCGGGGAUAGCCUUUCGAAAGAUAGAAUAAUACCCGAUAUAAAGGAUGGUGAUGCGUUCCAUUAGGUUGUUGGUGAGGUAACGGCCCACCAAGCGUUCUAUGGAUGGUGGUUCUGAGAGGAAGGUCCACCACGUUGGAACUGAGACACGGGCCAAACUCGUACGGGAGGCAGCAGUGAGGAAUAUUGGGCAAUGGGCGGUAGCCUGAACCAGCCAAGUAGCGUGAAGGAUGAAGGCUUAUGGGUCGUAAACUUCUUUUAUAUAAGAAUAUGUAUUAUAUGAAUAAGGAUCGGCUAACUCCGUGCCAACCGCCGCGGUAAUAC
rnacentral:rRNA from 1 species